GGCACGGAGGAUAGAUACCAGGAGUCCGAAAGAUAUAGGAUUUUUCACAUUUUUUGUGGUAGUCAUAUCUCGACCCAAAUAAUAGUUCUCGUUUUUGCCACUGGCUGCGCAAGUAUUCAGAACGUAUAGAGCACUAUAGAGAUGAGUACUCUCAUCCGCCAUUUUCACUCCUACAGAGAAGACACCAGUAUGGUUUUGUAUGGUAAACAGAUAGAUUAAACUACAAAAUACUAUUCAGUGAUUGAUUUUUAAACAUGGAUAACCUCUCUAUUUGGAACGUUUCAGUAAUAAUUUGAUGAAAAGUAUGCCAG